CGGAGUGGUAAAUGCAAAUGGCGGUCAUACACGGUACUGGUAUAUAAUACACGGUAUAUAAACGAUAUGAAUUUCUCAAAAACGAGAUAAGGCAAAUUAUAUGAUUUCACUUAUUUGAUAAAUAGUUUUCGACGGUUAUGUAUGACCAGUUGAUAGAACGAUAGUAUAUCAUGAUCUAACCUCUACAAUGUGUCCGAACAGCACGUAUGGUGCAUGUACGCCGUGUGGCCUGUGUGCCGAGGAUGAUCCCUGUAAUAUCUGAACAGGUCACUGCCCACGGGGAUGCAAGUUUGGAUGGACAGGACCCACGUGUAAAACAGGUUGGCUGAUGUUUGGCGCCUCUGGUGCAUUAAUACUCGUCAUCGUUGCCGUCGUCAUCGGUGGCGCUGUAUACAAUGUCAGAAAACUCGAAAGGAGAUACCAAAACUCGUAUGUGGAAUUUGCGGAGAGAUGCAACCGACUGUACGAAUUGUAGUGAUAAAGGAUCGACCCGGAAUAGGGGACAGACAGGAUCGCGAUGCAACAGAUCUAAAGUCUGUUUGCAGUGCACUUUAAACAAAAAAGUAAAUCACAGAUUGCGAAUCCUCAUGAUUUUACCUUGCCAAUUAAACUUUUAAAUCUCA